rnacentral:ncRNA from 1 species
CAACCUCAACUCAUAUGGGACUACCCCCUGAAUUUAAGAAUAUUAAUUAGGGGAGGAAAAGAAACUAACAAGGAUUUUCUUAGUAGCGGCGAGCGAAAAGAAAACAGUUCAGCACUAAGUCACUUUGUCUAUAUGGCAAAUGUGAGAUGCAGUGUAUGGAGCGUCAAUAUUCUAGUAUGAGAAAUUAAUGAUUUAAGUCCUUCUUAAAUGAGGCCAUUUACCCAUAGAGGGUGCCAGACCCGUAUAACGUUAAUGAUUGCUAGAUGAUGUUUUCAAAGAGUCGUGUUGCUUGAUAGUGCACCCUCAAGUGGGUGGUAAACUCCAUUUAAAACUAAAUAUAACCAUGAGACCGAUAGUAAACAAGUACCGUGAGGGAAAGUUGAAAAGAACUCUG